rnacentral:RNase_P_RNA from 1 species
GAAGCGGCCGGAGCGACCGCCGGUGGUCUUUUGACCACGGGAGGAAAGUCCGGGCACCACAGGGCGGGGUACCUGCUAACGGCAGGCGGGGGUGACCCUAGGGAAAGUGCCACAGAAAAUAUACGGCCGAUGGCCACGUCUCGGCGUGGCACAGGCAAAGGUGAAAUGGUGCGGUAAGAGCGCACCCACGACAGCCGGGAAACCGGCGGUGCGGUAAACCCUACCUGGUGCAAGGUCGAUUGGACGCGUUUGAGGUGGCCCGCCGAGCGUCCGAGGUGCCGCUUGAGGCGACGGGUAACCGUCGUCCUAGAUGAAUGGUCGUUGUCUUGCGGUUCGGAGCGAGAUCGAAACGCAAGCGCACAAAACCCGGCUUACAAGGCCGCUUCGGCU